GAAAUAAAAAUAGUUGCCUGCUGCUGGAAUCUAACCAGCGUCGCCACGGCCACAACGUGGAGUACUAACCACUAUACUAAGCAGGCCGAAAG